UACGUAGGGUGCGAGCGUUAAUCGGAAUUACUGGGCGUAAAGCGUGCGCAGGCGGUUUCUUAAGCAAGAUGUGAAAUCCCCGGGCUUAACCUGGGAAUGGCAUUUUGAACUGGGAGACUAGAGUGUGUCAGAGGGGGGUGGAAUUCCACGUGUAGCAGUGAAAUGCGUAGAGAUGUGGAGGAACACCGAUGGCGAAGGCAGCCCCCUGGGAUAACACUGACGCUCAUGCACGAAAGCGUGGGGAGCAAACAGG
rnacentral:rRNA from 1 species